rnacentral:rRNA from 1 species
UACGUAGGGUGCAAGCGUUUAUCCGGAAUUAUUGGGCGUAAAGAGCUCGUAGGCGGUUUGUCGCGUCUGCUGUGAAAACCGGAGGCUCAACCUCCGGCCUGCAGUGGGUACGGGCAAACUAGAGUGCGGUAGGGGAGAUUGGAAUUCCUGGUGUAGCGGUGGAAUGCGCAGAUAUCAGGAGGAACACCGGUGGCGAAGGCGGGUCUCUGGGCAACAACUGACGCUGAGGAGCGAAAGCGUGGGGAGCGAACAGG